UCUUUUUUGUUUUUCCCGGGAAAAUAAAAAAAUUCCCAAAAUUCCUAUAAAUCUUGUACGUACGCCCCUCCCCCACCCUGUAAAUAGCCCCUCCCCCCUCCGGCCGACAAUCGGGGGCGGCACCCCCAAAAUCCCGGGAUUUCACCCCAAAAAAUGCCGGGAUUUCCCCAGAAAAUCCUGGGAAUUCAUCCCAAAAAUCCUGGGAAUUCAUCCCAAAAAAUCCUGAGAUUUCCUCCAAAAAAUCCCAGGAUUUCCCAAAAAAAUCCUGGGAAUUCAUCCCAAAAAAUCCUGGGAAUUCAUCCCAAAAAAAAAUCUGGGAUUUCCCAAUAAAAUCCUGGGAUUUCACCCAAAAAUUCUGGGAUUUCACCCAAAAUUCCAGGAUUUCCCCCCCAAAAUUCCAGGAUUUCCCCCAAAUUCCAGGAUUUUCCCCAAAUUCCGGGAUUUCCCCCCAAAAUUCCAGGAUUUCUCCCCAAAUCCCGGGAUUUCCCCUCUAUAAAUAUUAUAAAUACAGAGAUGGAAACUUGGAAGAAUUCCCGAAUCUUGGAUUCCUUUUUUUGGGGAUUUGGGGGAUUUUUUAUGGGAUUUGGGAUUUUUUUUAUGGAAUUCUGGGUGGUUUUUAUGGGAUUUGGGGGAAAUUUUGGGGAUUUGGGGGAAUUUUUUGGGAUUUGGGGGAAUUUUUUUGGGAUUUGGGGGAAUUUUGGGGUUUGGGGUGGGAUUUUUUGGGGGAUUUGGGGAAUUUUUUGGGAUUUGGGGUGGAAUUUUGGGGGAAUUUUUGGGAUUUGGGGUGGGAUUUUUUGGGAUUUGGGGGAAUUUUUAUGGGAUUUGGGGGAAUUUUUUGGGAUUUGGGGGAAUUUUUUGGGGGAUUUGGGAGAAUUUUUGGGGAUUUGGGGGAAUUU
rnacentral:lncRNA from 1 species